rnacentral:lncRNA from 10 species
AGCCGGAGGUGGUUGAGGGCUCCUGUAGUCCCAGCUACUCGGGAGGCUGAGGCAGAAGAAUCGCUUGAACCCCGGGAGGCGGAGGUUACAGUAAGCCGAGAUUGCGCCACUGCACUCCAGCCUGGGCGAAAGAGGGAGAUUACGUCUCAAAAAAAAAAAAGGAGGAGGGAAGGGGGAAGGGGGAAGGGGGAGAAAUUUUUAUUUCCGGAGACAAAAUGUCAGAACCCAUAUAUCACAUUUGUUUUCUCCCUCUAAACCCUCAGAUCUGUUUCUUAGAAGUGGACACGUGAACUCUUACACAGAUCAAGAGGAGCAGCUCUGUAAAUAUUUCCCUGAGAGACUGCGUGGCAAACGUGAAUCCUCAGUUCUGCAAAACCGCGCAGGGGAGAGAAAAAGCCGCCCACGAAUUGAACUGUCUGCACCGCCUACGCGUGUCUUAGCCCUGAACCCAAAGCGCAUCCAGUUGGAAACCACAGUUCAGUGGUUAAAGACAUCAGGCUGCCCCUUCCGAGGAGACGCCACUUCGUGAUUCCUUGCCUCCAUCCCAGGUGCCCACCUCAAAAAAGUAGCGCGAAGCAGAUUAGCUGAAAAGAGAUGACGGGUGGUAGCCGUAGCUCGCCGGCGAUCCGGUGAGCGCGCCCCGGACCCACCCCGCCCCCACAGCCCCGACUUCGACGCACGCGCAGCUCCGUCUCAGCUCGCUAGCCGACCCGCCCCUCCCACUUCUCCCCUGUACACGCAGCUGUUUUCUUCUGACAGAUCCCAUCAAGAACUUUCAGUCCUCUAGGCCUCGCACGUGCUGUCCCAUCAAUACCUGAAAUGUCACCUUCCUUUCAACUCCUUUCCCCUCGUUACCUCCAAGCACCUAUAGAGAAGGAAAAAUAAUCUUCCUUCUACCAGUUUGAGUUCUCAGCUGGGACUCCUGUAACAACAGACAGAAUGAAGAGAAAAACAAGUGUAUUAACAUGUGCAUUUCAUAUAUACAUGGGACAUACCCAGGGAAUGAGUAAUUCUAAAGGUGUGGCUGAGAACUCCAUUUUAUACAGCAUCGUCAACAAAGAACAAUACGUUUUUGGAGAAGUGACAACACAAAGGAAAAGGACCUUAAAGGCUGGGCGCGGUGGCUCACGCCUGUAAUCCCAGUACUUUGCGAGGCCGAGGUGGGCGGAUCACCUGAGGUCAGGAGUUCGAGACCAGCCUGACCAACAUGUGGUGAAACCUCGUCUCUACUAAAAAUACAAAAAUUAGCCGGGCGUGGUGGCGCGCGCCUGUAAUCCCAGCUACUCAGGAGGCUGAGGCAGGAGAAUCGCUUGAACUCGGAGGCAGAGGUUGCAGUGAGCCGAGAUCGCGCCACUGCACUCCAGCCUGCGCGACAGAGCGAGACUCUGUCCCAAAAAAAACAAAAAAAAAGAAAGCAAAAAGAAAGGACCUCGGGUCUCCAGGGACAGCAAAUUGUGGGAAAGCAAAUAUAUGGGAAAUUAAUGUUAGAUAAAGGCAGGUUCCUAAAGCUUGUUAAAUGUACUUCUGUGGUCCCCUCUGUUCACGUCUCCAAGCUGUUAAGGACCUAAAGUUGUCUUAGGUUAUCAACCUUUGUCCUUCCUGGUAGAGAAAGGAGGAGGAACGACUUUGUAAAUGUAUAUCCUGCUUUUAGGCAGAUAGGGGGAGGCUAUGGAGCUUUAUUUUAAUCAGCUUCUUCCCAAUUGCCUUUAGCGCAAAAUAAUCCUUAGGCCGGAGUGGCAUAUUUUCGGGUGGUAUAUACUUCUACCCUUUACACCUUUGAGAAUGCAGCUUGGCCAAAGCAGUAGUUCACGCCUGUAAUUCCAGCGCUUUGGAGGCCGAGGCGGGCCAAUCACUUGAGGUCAGGAGUUUGAGACUAGCCUGGCCAACAUGGUGAAACCUGGUCUCUACCAAAAAAUACAAAAAUAGCCAAGUGCGGUGGCGCACACCCGUAGUCCCAGCUACUCGGGAGGCUGAGGCAGGAGAAUCGCUGGAACCCAGGAAACAGAGGUUGCAGUGAGCCGAGAUGGCUUUUAAUCAAUGCUUUAAUAGAGAAAUAUGCAAGACCUUUGGUAACCCAGAGAAAUCACUAGAAGGAAGGCAGAGUAGCACCUGGCAGGGGGUAAGGCAUUAGAACUGUGCCUUGAAAGGUGAGUAGGAGUGUGCAGGCAUGCAGGAAAUGUGAUUCAGCCAGAAAUACCGUGUCUUCUUCUCUGAGCUUGAAUUCCAAAUGCUUCUCACCAGGAUUCCCCCUCUCCUCUUCAGGCUGAAAACAGACAGGGCUUGCCUUUUUAGGGCAAAGGCUAGGCCCAACAUUUCCUAGGAAUAUGCCUCCCACUUUUGGUCCCAAGGUGGUUGGCUUUUGCUCAGAACAAUAGUAACAAUCUCAUUCUUCACUCUUACCUGUGUGUAUAAGUAACACUUUAAAGCAUGCUGUCAGGUUCUCCAAAGAAACAGAACCAGUAGGACAGAGACAGAUAGAAACAGAGGUAGAGAAAGAUUAUUUUAAGAGCUCGGUUCACACAUUGUGGGGGUCAGCAAACCCAAAACCUGUAGGGCAGACUAACGGUUUGAAAAUUCAGAUAAGAGUUAAGGUUGCCAUCUUGAGUUUAAAUUCAGCAGGGCAGGCCAGGUGCUGUGGUUCAUGCCUGUAAUCCCAACACUUUGGGAGACUGAGGCGGGUGGAUGACCUGAGGUCAGGAGUUCCAGACCAGCCUGGCCAACACGGUAAAACCCCGUCUCUACUAAAAAUACAAAAAUUAGCCAGGCGUGGUGGUGCACACCUGUAGUCAAGCUACUUGGGAGGCUGAGGCAGGAGAAUCUCUGGAACCCAGGAGGCAGAGGUUGCAGUGAGCCCAGAUGGCGCCACUGCACUCCAGUCUGGGUGACAGACCAGGACUCCCUCUCAAAAAAUUAAAUAAAUAAAUAAAUAAAUAAAUAAAUAAAUAAAUAAAUUCAGCAGGGCAGUAAGCUGGAGACUCAGGAAGGC